AACGAACGCUGGCGGCAUGCCUAACACAUGCAAGUCGAACGAGACCUUCGGGUCUAGUGGCGCACGGGUGCGUAACGCGUGGGAACCUGCCCUUAGGUUCGGAAUAACUCCCCGAAAGGGGUGCUAAUACCGGAUAAUGUCUUCGGACCAAAGAUUUAUCGCCUUUGGAUGGGCCUGCGUUGGAUUAGCUAGUUGGUAGGGUAAAAGCCUACCAAGGCGAGGAUCCAUAGCUGGUCUGAGAGGAUGAUCAGCCACACUGGGACUGAGACACGGCCCAGACUCCUACGGGAGGCAGCAGUGGGGAAUAUUGGACACUGGGCGAAAGCCUGAUCCAGCAAUGCCGCGUGAGUGAUGAAGGCCUUAGGGUUGUAAAGCUCUUUUACCCGGGAUGAUAAUGACAGUACCGGGAGAAUAAGCUCCGGCUAACUCCGUG
rnacentral:rRNA from 1 species